rnacentral:rRNA from 1 species
AGUGAACGCUGGCGGUAGGCCUAACACAUGCAAGUCGAACGGCAGCACAGUAAGAGCUUGCUCUUACGGGUGGCGAGUGGCGGACGGGUGAGGAAUACAUCGGAAUCUACUUUUUCGUGGGGGAUAACGUAGGGAAACUUACGCUAAUACCGCAUACGACCUACGGGUGAAAGCAGGGGAUCUUCGGACCUUGCGCGAUUGAAUGAGCCGAUGUCGGAUUAGCUAGUUGGCGGGGUAAAGACCCACCAAGGCGACGAUCCGUAGCUGGUCUGAGAGGAUGAUCAGCCACACUGGAACUGAGACACGGUCCAGACUCCUACGGGAGGCAGCAGUGGGGAAUAUUGGACAAUGGGCGCAAGCCUGAUCCAGCCAUACCGCGUGGGUGAAGAAGGCCUUCGGGUUGUAAAGCCCUUUUGUUGGGAAAGAAAGGCAGCAGGUUAAUACCCCGCUGUUCUGACGGUACCCAAAGAAUAAGCACCGGCUAACUUCGUG